rnacentral:rRNA from 1 species
AGGACGAACGCUGGCGGCGUGCCUAACACAUGCAAGUCGAACGGGACUGGGGGCAACUCCAGUUCAGUGGCAGAUGGGUGCGUAACACGUGAGGAACUUGUCCGACGGCGGGGGAUAGCCGGCCCAACGGCCGGGUAAUACCGCGUACGCUCAUUUGGGGACAUCCCUGGGUGAGGAAAGCAGCCGCAAGGUUGCGCCGAUGGAGAGCCUCGCGGCGUAUCAGCUAGUUGGCGGGGUAAUGGCUCACCAAGGCGACGACGGGUAGC